CUGUCCUAAUUCAUUACUUGCGACUGUUGCCACGACGGUUAAGGGCAACUGCCUCAACCUUUUUAACAAAUAAAGGAGAAUUCCUUUUGAAAAGGAGACCCACACGGAUUCUAAACCCCCUCACACCACUAUGACGACGGUUGUUCACCAGCCGCACCACUUCACCUUAAAAAUUUAUCUAACUAGCGCUUAAAGCUUGUCACCACUGCUUUAUUUUAAAUUUUUAUUUUCAUUCCCCGCUUUCCAAUUUAUUAUCCCGCUUCCUAAUUCCAUCUAAGAAGGAUAGAACUCAAAAGCCUUCAAAAUUCCUAAACACCAAUCUCAAAUUUCUGAAACCACUUGUUUGGUAAGAACAAUCCCAAUUUCUUAAAUAUAUAUCGCAGAAGCCGACAUUCAACGAUGUGAUACAAAGGAAAAAGUUGGUAUUCGACGAUGAAAUUCAUAGGAAAAGAUGCAUGCAUGCUAAUUGUGGUGGAGAUUUAUGGAGAAAACGUUUCCUGUAUCGAUACAUAGAAACAGUAUUUUUAACGUUGUGACACAUAACAUAUUGGUGGAGGUGGCUAGCUGUUUAUUUUUCGAAUGAUUAGUGUUAUAUGUUAUCGAGAAUUACCCUUUGGAGGAUUCAUUGUAUCUUUGGGAGAACAAGAGAAAGUAUGAAAAUGGAAGGAUUAGGGAGGAAAGGGACUGUGAUACCACCCGAGUCACAGUUCCCGACACAGGAGAUGCACAAGACUACAAGGAAAUUUUAAGAUGUCGUCACUGUAAAGAAUAAUGAGUUUCACCUUCUACAAGGUUGUGUCACCGACACCAGCCUUGUCAACCUCAUCCAGAAACUCCUCGAACAACGAGUUCGUGGUGCAUUUUUUGUGUGUGCUUGAAUUGAAUAUAUGUUUUUAUUUUUCAAUUUAUUCUGCAACAGUGAAGUGUUUUUGGUUAUUAGGUUCUUUUUGGAGAAGGGCAUUAUGCUAAUAGAACUUCUAAACAAAUAGUUGAGAUUUUGGAACGAUGAGGGAAGUCAUUAGAUUCACAAGUUGAUUCUCUCCAAGCCAUGAUCAACACAACCUUUCUUCAUGUAUCAAUGUCACAAAUAAUGAAUGUAACUUUCAUGAUUUAUGAAUGUCACAAAUAAUGAAUGUAAGGGUUUAUGGCUUUCCAUUUCUUCUAUCAAUAUGUUAAUAUGAUUGGAAGUUUUGUUAAUUAUAUUUUUCUUAAGAUUUGGCCACAAGAUAGUUCUUCGAAUAGCUAAGAAGGGCAUUAUACUGAAUAUGGAGAGAAGAUUGUGGUGCACUCUGAUACCUCUAUAGUGACAAUGCUUCAUGUCAUACAUUGGGUUCGUUAAUAUGCAAGAGCUUAUUGGGAUUAAAUCAAAACGGAAAACUACUUUGAUUGCUCAAGAUCUACUAUCAACAUUUCAUAGAGAGCAUGUCGGAGAUUAUUAUUUCGUCGUGGCGUUGGUUAUGUUCUUUUUAUAAGAAGGACCCGGUUUAUAAUUUCUUUGGUUGGCAUACCCAACCUUUACAGUGUUUUCUCUUGUAAUCCUUUUGUAUUGGGUAGGAGCAUCCCUUUUGCUCUCUUAAUUCCAUUGCUUAUUAAAAAAAAAAACAUGGAUUAGAUAGACUUAGGAUGAUGUGUGAAGCAAGUUUAUGUGAAGAUGUUGCAUUAACCACUAUAACUACAACUUUAGCUUUGGAAGGGUACCUUCAUUGUUUCCAACUGAAAGCAGUCUAUCUGAAAUUCAUUGCAAGGUUUGUUUUAGGCUCUAGUUUGAAGGAUGAAGGCAAAGAAAAAGGGAUUAAGUGGUAGAAGCAAAGUCAUGGAGCUUUAAAUUUUGUAUUUUUGUUGUAGUACAUGGUUUUGUUUGGUAUGGAACUUUCGAUUUUUCAUAGAAAUUGUUGCUAAACUAUUUUUUCAUUCAGUUAUAUGU